GGGUUGUGAGGUUAAGCGACUAAGCGUACACGGUGGAUGCCCUGGCAGUCAGAGGCGAUGAAGGACGUGCUAAUCUGCGAAAAGCGUCGGUAAGGUGAUAUGAACCGUUACAGCCGGCGAUGUCCGAAUGGGGAAACCCAGUGUGAUUCGUCACACUAUCGUUAACUGAAUACAUAGGUUAACGAGGCGAACCGGGGGAACUGAAACAUCUAAGUACCCCGAGGAAAAGAAAUCAACCGAGAUUCCCCCAGUAGCGGCGAGCGAACGGGGAGCAGCCCAGAGUCUGAAUCAGCUUGUGUGUUAGUGGAACGGUCUGGAAAGUCCGACGGUACAGGGUGAUAGUCCCGUACACCAAAAUGCACAGGUUGUGAACUCGAAGAGUAGGGCGGGACACGUGGUAUCCUGUCUGAAUAUGGGGGGACCAUCCUCCAAGGCUAAAUACUCCUGACUGACCGAUAGUGAACCAGUACCGUGAGGGAAAGGCGAAAAGAACCCCGGCGAGGGGAGUGAAAAAGAACCUGAAACCGUGUACGUACAAGCAGUGGGAGCACCUUCGGGUGUGACUGCGUACCUUUUGUAUAAUGGGUCAGCGACUUAUAUUCUGUAGCAAGGUUAACCGUAUAGGGGAGCCGCAGGGAAACCGAGUCUUAACUGGGCGUUAAGUUGCAGGGUAUAGACCCGAAACCCGGUGAUCUAGCCAUGGGCAGGUUGAAGGUUGGGUAACACUAACUGGAGGACCGAACCGACUAAUGUUGAAAAAUUAGCGGAUGACUUGUGGCUGGGGGUGAAAGGCCAAUCAAACCGGGAGAUAGCUGGUUCUCCCCGAAAGCUAUUUAGGUAGCGCCUCGUGAACUCAUCUUCGGGGGUAGAGCACUGUUUCGGCUAGGGGGUCAUCCCGACUUACCAACCCGAUGCAAACUACGAAUACCGAAGAAUGUUAUCACGGGAGACACACGGCGGGUGCUAACGUCCGUCGUGAAGAGGGAAACAACCCAGACCGCCAGCUAAGGUCCCAAAGUCACAGUUAAGUGGGAAACGAUGUGGGAAGGCACAGACAGCCAGGAUGUUGGCUUAGAAGCAGCCAUCAUUUAAAGAAAGCGUAAUAGCUCACUGGUCGAGUCGGCCUGCGCGGAAGAUGUAACGGGGCUAAACUGUGCACCGAAGCUGCGGCAGCGACACUAUGUGUUGUUGGGUAGGGGAGCGUUCUGUAAGCCUGCGAAGGUGGCCUGUGAGGGUUGCUGGAGGUAUCAGAAGUGCGAAUGCUGACAUAAGUAACGAUAAUGCGGGUGAAAAGCCCGCACGCCGGAAGACCAAGGGUUCCUGUCCAACGUUAAUCGGGGCAGGGUGAGUCGACCCCUAAGGCGAGGCCGAAAGGCGUAGUCGAUGGGAAACAGGUUAAUAUUCCUGUACUUGGUGUUACUGCGAAGGGGGGACGGAGAAGGCUAUGUUAGCCGGGCGACGGUUGUCCCGGUUUAAGCAUGUAGGCGGAGGUUCCAGGUAAAUCCGGUACCUUUUAACGCUGAGGUGUGAUGACGAGGCACUACGGUGCUGAAGUAACAAAUGCCCUGCUUCCAGGAAAAGCCUCUAAGCAUCAGGUAACAUUAAAUCGUACCCCAAACCGACACAGGUGGUCAGGUAGAGAAUACCAAGGCGCUUGAGAGAACUCGGGUGAAGGAACUAGGCAAAAUGGUGCCGUAACUUCGGGAGAAGGCACGCUGAUAUGUAGGUGAAGCCCCUGCGGGUGGAGCUGAAAUCAGUCGAAGAUACCAGCUGGCUGCAACUGUUUAUUAAAAACACAGCACUGUGCAAACACGAAAGUGGACGUAUACGGUGUGACGCCUGCCCGGUGCCGGAAGGUUAAUUGAUGGGGUUAUCCGUAAGGAGAAGCUCUUGAUCGAAGCCCCGGUAAACGGCGGCCGUAACUAUAACGGUCCUAAGGUAGCGAAAUUCCUUGUCGGGUAAGUUCCGACCUGCACGAAUGGCGUAAUGAUGGCCAGGCUGUCUCCACCCGAGACUCAGUGAAAUUGAACUCGCUGUGAAGAUGCAGUGUACCCGCGGCAAGACGGAAAGACCCCGUGAACCUUUACUAUAGCUUGACACUGAACAUUGAGCCUUGAUGUGUAGGAUAGGUGGGAGGCUUUGAAGCGUGGACGCCAGUCUGCGUGGAGCCAACCUUGAAAUACCACCCUUUAAUGUUUGAUGUUCUAACGUUGGCCCCUUAUCGGGGUUGCGGACAGUGUCUGGUGGGUAGUUUGACUGGGGCGGUCUCCUCCCAAAGAGUAACGGAGGAGCACGAAGGUUAGCUAAUCCUGGUCGGACAUCAGGAGGUUAGUGCAAUGGCAUAAGCUAGCUUGACUGCGAGCGUGACGGCGCGAGCAGGUGCGAAAGCAGGUCAUAGUGAUCCGGUGGUUCUGAAUGGAAGGGCCAUCGCUCAACGGAUAAAAGGUACUCCGGGGAUAACAGGCUGAUACCGCCCAAGAGUUCAUAUCGACGGCGGUGUUUGGCACCUCGAUGUCGGCUCAUCACAUCCUGGGGCUGAAGUAGGUCCCAAGGGUAUGGCUGUUCGCCAUUUAAAGUGGUACGCGAGCUGGGUUUAGAACGUCGUGAGACAGUUCGGUCCCUAUCUGCCGUGGGCGCUGGAGAAUUGAGGGGGGCUGCUCCUAGUACGAGAGGACCGGAGUGGACGCAUCACUGGUGUUCGGGUUGUCAUGCCAAUGGCAUUGCCCGGUAGCUAAAUGCGGAAGAGAUAAGUGCUGAAAGCAUCUAAGCACGAAACUUGCCCCGAGAUGAGUUCUCCCUGAGACUUUAAGUCUCCUGAAGGAACGUUAAAGACGAUGACGUUGAUAGGUCGGGUGUGUAAGCGUAGCGAUACGUUGAGC
rnacentral:rRNA from 1 species